UACCACAGCUAUCGUUAUUAUCACUGUUAUUAUUAUUUGCCGAGCCCCCCGUACGCCACGCUGCACUAGGAAGUACAGAAGAAGCGACGUCCCCCCGUCACGAGGAGCUUACGUCGGAAGGGUUGCCCACUCGGAGUCAAAGACCAUCAACGAUUUGGACGCUCAGUAAAACACGCGAGAUUGUCGCGGACUAUCAUCGCUAACGCUAGGUGCGGCUCUCGCGUGUCCGCGGGAAGGAGUCCUCGGUAACCCCCAAGAAUGCACGGCGACGAGGUCGGAACCAGGGCGCCCGCUCGGAGGUUCGAAACGAGCUACGAAAUCGUGACCGGACUACCGAAGGCGAUCGAAACGUGAUAGAGUAUGGAGAUUUCGGAGGAAGAGGGCGUGCUAGGUGACGCUCGUCGGCGUAUCGUCACCCAGCAGACCCGUCGAACGCCAGCUAUUUAAUAAUAACGAUGGCGUUGGUUAAGCGCCCGCUGUGCGCGAAGCACCGUUCUUCCGGCUGUUUCGCGGUAGGACCCGCGUCUGGAUUCCGGCGCGCCGAGGGCUUUCUCUUUGCGUGCCAGAAAUGCGGCACGCCCUGCCUAAAUACAGCUCCGUAAAAGAA